rnacentral:rRNA from 1 species
UUAGGAAUAUUACACAAUGGGGGCAACCCUGAUGGAGCAACGCCGCGUGAAGGAUGAAGGUCUUCGGAUUGUAAACUUCUUUUAUGAGUGAAGAAUAUGACGGUAACUCAUGAAUAAGCACCGGCUAACUACGUGCCAGCAGCCGCGGUCAUACGUAGGGUGCAAGCAUUAUCCGGAGUGACUGGGCGUAAAGAGUUGCGUAGGUGGUUAAUAAAGCGAAUAGUGAAACCUGGAGGCUCAACCUUACAGACUAUUAUUCGAACUUAUUAACUCGAGAAUGGUAGAGGUAACUGGAAUUUCUUGUGUAGGAGUGAAAUCCGUAGAUAUAAGAAGGAACACCAAUGGCGUAGGCAGGUUACUGGACCAUUUCUGACACUGAGGCACGAAAGCGUGGGGAGCGAACC